GACGAACGCUGGCGGCGUGCUUAACACAUGCAAGUCGAACGCUGAAGCCCAGCUUGCUGGGUGGAUGAGUGGCGAACGGGUGAGUAACACGUGAGUAACCUGCCCCCUUCUUUGGGAUAACGCCCGGAAACGGGUGCUAAUACUGGAUAUUCACUGAUCUUCGCAUGGGGGUUGGUGGAAAGGUUUUUUCUGGUGGGGGAUGGGCUCGCGGCCUAUCAGCUUGUUGGUGGGGUGAUGGCCUACCAAGGCUUUGACGGGUAGCCGGCCUGAGAGGGUGACCGGUCACAUUGGGACUGAGAUACGGCCCAGACUCCUACGGGAGGCAGCAGCGGGGAAUAUUGCACAAUGGGCGAAAGCCUGAUGCAGCGACGCCGCGUGAGGGAUGACGGCCUUCGGGUUGUAAACCUCUUUCGCUCAUGGUCAAGCCGCAACUGUGGGUUGUGGUGAGGGUAGUGGGUAAAGAAGCGCCGGCUAACUACGUGCCAGCAGCCGCGGUAAUACGUAGGGCGCGAGCGUUGUCCGGAAUUAUUGGGCGUAAAGGGCUUGUAGGCGGUUGGUCGCGUCUGCCGUGAAAUCCUCUGGCUUAACUGGGGGCGUGCGGUGGGUACGGGCUGACUUGAGUGCGGUAGGGGAGACUGGAACUCCUGGUGUAGCGGUGGAAUGCGCAGAUAUCAGGAAGAACACCGGUGGCGAAGGCGGGUCUCUGGGCCGUUACUGACGCUGAGGAGCGAAAGCGUGGGGAGCGAACAGG
rnacentral:rRNA from 1 species